rnacentral:lncRNA from 1 species
UGACGUACGGGCCUAUAAGGCCGGCAUGAUCCUUUAUAUACUCAAAACAUAGGCCGACAAGGCUAUCAAAGAAUCUGUAUACAUGACAUAUGUCUACAAGCCUCUAAGAAUACAUAAUAUCAUAAAGGUCGGGACAGAGCCCCGCCAUACCAAACAAUACACAUCUAAAUUAUACUGACCAAACAAGUAACUCCGGAGCAAAUGGAGUACACUAACAUCUUCCGCUGAGCUGAUCGCCUACUUGGAGGACUCUCGACCUGUCUAUCGAGACCUGCAGGCAUGAAACGCAGUGUCCCCAAGCAAAAGAGACGUCAGUACAAAUAAUGUACUGAGUAUGUAAGGAAUGAAAAUCAGUAGACAAUAGACAUGAGAGAAAUAUGGAGUAAAAGACACGACAUGUAAAUCUGAAUAGCUCUGUGAAAUCCUUUAAUAUUUAAAAUGUCAUCAUGUCGUGCAUAGAUACAUGUGUUCAUAACAUCAUCAAGCCUACGAGGGCAUCCCAUCAUAUCACCUCGGUCACUAUGGGCAAAAUCAUCAGCAUAUACCAGCUGAUCAGGUAGUGGUUCGUAUAUAAUGCCAUAACCUUUCUCAUAUCCCAUAUACAUAUAUAUACGUGUAUAUAACGCCAUCUGGUCAUGGGUCAAUGUGCAUAUGUAAAUGUAUGAAAUGCAUGUGAAAAUAUGUUAAUAAAAUCUCUCGAUACGUCAUAAGACCAUUAUGCCUCUGACUAAUAUCAUGAAAUAAAUUUUACCAACUUGCGUAUUUUUGAGACCCAUGAACAAAUGAUAGAAUAAUAUGACACAUGGGGAAUCAAGAACAUAAUCACCUCUAGUAUUUCUACGAAUAGAGUCGUUUGUGUCGUAUAGAUCAUGCCAAAAGAAAGAAGGGAUAGCCUUAACAUACCUGAACCGAUUCUCUUGACAAUCCCUCCAAUACAUGUUGAUUGCAACAAAAUAUGUAACGACGGAUCGAAGUAAGAAAAAUUCUACAUAAUAUUCUUUGAGAAAAAUUGCAUCGUACUUUCUUAGAAUUGCAAAAUUCCGUUGCUAUAACAUUACGUAGUAUUUGUAUGAAAGAUCGAAACAACAUCACGUUGCAAGAUGAUAUGGUAUUCUUUCUUGAAAUGUUGAUAAAGA